rnacentral:lncRNA from 1 species
AAUUUAGGACAACAGGAAACUGUAUGCUCCUAGAGUUGUCCUUCAGUCAUAAAAUGAAGGUCUGGACCAAUUGCCUGUUCGGUGGCAUUCUUAGAAGACAAGGUAUGCUCAACUCUUUCUUUCAGGACAAAGGAGACUCCCGGCAUUAUUCCUGCUAUUUUAAUUUAGUGAAGUGCAACCUAGUUUCUUGACAUGAACUAUAACAAUGUUAUUGUGUUCUACAUUACAGAGAGUAAUUUAUUAUUUGGACUUAAUUGCAAAAAUGCUUAUAUUUAAGGCGUGUCAGAAGAUACACAUUUUCAAAUGAGAGAGGCUACAGUGUAGCAUCAGUGGUUCUUAUUGGUAAGUGCAAGGACGUGUCUAAAGAACUUUGAACCAAUGUUACCGAAGAGAAAGUUUCUUCAUGUUGUAAUAAGACCUCAUUGUCUCUCCCUCACAUGAAAAAUCCUGGAAAAUUAUUUUGGAUUAAUAGAUUAAAGAGAAAAUAAUGAAUAUUUUUAGACAUAUCAGCUCCAUCCUGUUUCCGUAUGUGUUGUCUGGGCUUGUGCUGUGCCCUUGGUGCCACAGCCCUUCCGACACACCUGGCUCAGGGACCUUUCACUGCAACAGCUUUUAAUCAGCUGCUCCCAGUGUGGGAAGUUCUUACUGACAGAGAGAUGGCCCAGAGCCAACAAGCAAAUAUUUUGGUGUCAUUACCAGAAAGUGAUCCAGUAUCCCCCCCGUAAAUUAAUGGAAAAGUCAAGUAAAACAAUUAUACGUUAACACUGUAAAUGAUAGGGGGAAAUGAAUGUGAAAGACAAGAUGGAAGUGUAGUAAUGCUAGCUUUUAACUCAUGAAAAGAAGUUGCUAGUUCUGUUUUGCUGAAUGGUCUCAAAGCAGUUAUUUCAAUCAGUUUUUCAGUCAAUCAGUAAUAUAUAUAUUUAUAUUUAUUAUUACUAUUGUUAUUAACUUUCUUUUCUUUCCCAUCAAGGUGAAAUAAUAGCAUUCAUCUUGCACACUUCUGGAGUUCCUGUUAAGAUUUUCAAACUAUAGGUGGAAUUUCACUCAAGUGACCAGUCAUAUCCAAUUUAUCCAGGGAAAUCUCUGAUAACAGACAGAAAGCAGAAACAUGUGUUGCCCUUGAAGUCACAUACAGGUUAACCACUCCCUUUUUUCUGCCCAAGUCUGUGUGUCCAGGAUCCUCUUAGCUGCCCAGGUAGGGUGUGCUUCUUCCCUUCCCAUUGGGACAACAGUACUAGGGGAUGAUGGGGACCAGGGUGACAUAGGGUGUCUCAGACGUCGUUACACAAAUACAGGGACAGAAGCAUGAGCCUGACAAUGCAGCACUUCUCACAACCUGCUACAGUGGUUAUUUGGUUGUUCAACAUAGUCCUGUUUUGGUCAGAAGUGCAGAGUGCACACCUGUGUUGUAAGGGAUCUUAAGUUCCUUCAUUAUUUCUUGAAUUUUAUUGAACUUGCCUAAUGUUGCUGCAUAUUAGACUCUCAAUUGCCUGACUGAUAAUUAGUU